CCUACGUGAGACAGCAGUAGGGAAUAUUGCUCAAUGGGGGAAACCCUGAAGCAGCAACGCCGCGUGGAGGCUGAAGGUUUUCGGAUUGUAAACUCCUUUUGUUAGAGAAGAUAAUGACGGUCUCUAACGAAUAAGCACCGGCCAACUCCGUGCCAGCAGCCGCGGUAAUACGGAGGGUGCAAGCUUUACUCGGAAUCACUGGGCGUAAAGAGCGCGUAGGCGGGAUAGCAAGUCAGAUGUGAAAUCCUAUGGCUUAACCAUAGAACUGUAUUUGAAACUGGUAUUCUAGAGUAUGGGAGAGGUAGGUGGAAUUCUUGGGGUAGGGGUAAAAUCUGUAGAGAUCAAGAGGAAUACUCAUUGCGAAGGCGACCUGCUAGAACAUAACUGACGCUGAUGCGCGAAAGCGUGGGGAGCAAACAGGAUGAGAGACCCCAGUAGUC
rnacentral:rRNA from 1 species